CCAAUUGAAGAUGAAGAAUUGGUGUCCUACAUACUAGCGGGUCUCGACAUCGACUACAACCCGCUGGUAUCCUCUAUCUGCUCAUGCACUGAACCUAUAUCUGUAAGCGAUCUUUACUCGCAGAUACAGAGUUAUGAUA